rnacentral:rRNA from 1 species
CAGCCGCCGCGGGAAUACGUAGGUCCCGAGCGUUGUCCGGAUUUAUUGGGCGUAAAGCGAGCGCAGGCGGUUAGAUAAGUCUGAAGUUAAAGGCUGUGGCUUAACCAUAGUAUGCUUUGGAAACUGUUUAACUUGAGUGCAGAAGGGGAGAGUGGAAUUCCAUGUGUAGCGGUGAAAUGCGUAGAUAUAUGGAGGAACACCGGUGGCGAAAGCGGCUCUCUGGUCUGUAACUGACGCUGAGGCUCGAAAGCGUGGGGAGCAAACAGGAUUAGAUACCCCUGUAGUCCCUGUCUCUUAUACA